rnacentral:lncRNA from 15 species
CUGAACUUAGCUUCUCAUCAGACCUGAGCCAAACAAACUAGCCCAGGGCAGACUGAAUCCAAAUGUGUAGGGAAGGAUCUACUUUGUGCACGUGUCAUUCCACAACUGAAUUACCUAAAUCUGUCGAGCAUACACCAUUAACCGUGUUUUUCCUUUCCCCUGCCUCUCAACUUGGAUAACAUUGUAAGGAUUAAAAGGUACUGACCCUUCCUUUUAUAAGGACUGGUGGGUGAAAUACUUUGAUGUUCCAUUUUUGUGAUUAAUUUGGAAUUAAUAAGUGUAUAGUGUCUGUUUUUCUCUGCUGUGACACAGAGUUCAUGAUGUCUUAUUUGCAGGUGUGGGCUAUUGAUCUGGACCUCACAUACAGUGACCAGCUGGCCAUGACCCAGAUGCUUCUGAUGAUGACUGGAGGAACGCAGGCUGUUCAGAAGUGCCAGUGCCAAUCGGAGAGAAAUGCUGUGAACACCAGAUUGCAGCCAAAGAGCUGAUCAAGGACAGAUUGCGGAUGACUGUUCAGAACAAGAUGCAAGCAGUGGAGGCAUAAACCUGCUGCUUAAACAGCUGCUUCACUGACAAACUUGCCUUACUCUCGCCAAGUUAAGUCAUAAUAUCUUUGGCAGCUCAAAUUACUCUGUGAAUACAUGAACAAAUGAAUCAGUAUUGAUCAGACAUAGAUAGCCAAAUAAAUUCUAGAAAAAACAUUGUCAGAAUCUGUCAUGAGCCGCUAUACUGAAUGGUUUAGUGAUCUGUUUUAACUGCUUGAAUAUAAUUAAAUAUUGGAAAAUUAUGGCUAUUAAAGGCAUACAGUAAAAUAUGCACAAAGUAAUUCCAUUGGAGAAUUAGAGGGCUUCAUUCAUGAAUUAUUCAUGUAUUCACAUUGUAUAAAGCAGCUUUGUUUUGUGUUGGAAUCUGAAUAUUAUUUG